CUGGAGCUGGUUCCACAGCCAGGUCCCCUAAUGGAGAACACUAACACCAGCACCCUCUAUUUUAAAUCUAGCAGGUUCCAGCCUAGGCUCUUCCACUGACUGCAGCAGUAAGUCAUGAGAGGUGGUUUCUUAGUAAACCUUUAGUUGUAGACACUAAAGGAUUGGCUGGCAGCGUGGCAUUUUGGCUUCUCAAUAACCAGUGUGGGCGGAUCAGCAGCACAGUUUGAGACUGGGG